ensembl:rRNA 5S_rRNA 5S ribosomal RNA
GUCUAUGGCCAUACCACGCUGAACACGUGGAUCUUGUCUGAUCUCAGAAGCUAAGUGGGUCGGGCCGGUUAGUACUUGGCUGGAAGACUUUAUUAGAAUCUAACAGUGUGUCCAGAGGGC